rnacentral:misc_RNA from 1 species
GAUGAAGAACGUAGCGAAAUGCGAUAAGUAAUGCGAAUUGCAGAAUUCCAGUGAGUCAUCGAAUCUUUGAACGCACAUUGCGCCCGCCAGUAUUCUGGCGGGCAUGCCUGUCCGAGCGUCAUUUCAACCCUCGAACCCCUCCGGGGGGUCGGCGUUGGGGACCUCGGGAGCCCCUAAGACGGGAUCCCGGCCCCGAAAUACAGUGGCGGUCUCGCCGCAGCCUCUCCUGCGCAGUAGUUUGCACAACUCGCACCGGGAGCGCGGCGCGUCCACGUCCGUAAAACACCCAACUUCUGAAAUGUUGACCUCGGAUCAGGUAGGAAUACCCGCUGAACUUAAGCAUAUCAAUAAGCGGAGGA